CUAAUUUCAUUAUCGAGUCAAUGAUGACAAAAUUCUCUCAGGACCAGCAGUCACUGGCUACACAUCGACUGGACCGUCUCAGAAAUAACGUUUUCCUGCUGUGGAAAGUCUUAAUCUAGUGUACCUUUACAAAUAAUACACCAUACAUAAGUGGACUGAUCCAUCUUUAAAGCUUUCCUCUUAACAGCUAAUUAAAAAGUACACCACGUGCACCUUCCCAGGUAAAAGAUACACACGAGACGUACAAAAGGAAAAGUAGUUUGGUACUUUUAUUUUAACAGGGUACAGGAGGCCAUUUUUCUACACACGGUCUCAUAAAUACGAUAACUGCCGUCUCCUUUGUUUCUGAUUUUACGUCUGGACUCUGUUACUCUUCCACGGUAACAGGAGGACUAGUGGUGCUACACAAAAUUCGAUGAUGAUGACUGAACGGAUCUGGAGAUUUCUUUAUCGUCACAUGCCCUUUUCUAGUGUUUUAUUAUUUAGAAACGUUUCUCUCUCUCUCUCUGUUCUAAUUAGUGUGUCGUUUUUGACUUGACUCUUCUGGGUGAACGUCCAGGACUGACCCGCUUCGAUGUCGUUUCCCUUCAUUUGAAAAAGACAGCACUGAAACGCGUGACUUGCGUCUUCCGCGUUACAGCUUACUCGAAAAAUACGGUUCUCGUGUCCGUCUGGUUUUAGAACAAACUCGGAGCCGAAAGAGUCGACUCUUAUCGGCGAGUUAAAUGAGACGGAAUUCCCGUCGCUCCCGUUGUUUAGAAAGGAAAACUGACGGACGGGUAACGUCCGUCUGUUUUCCUUUCUAAACAACGGGAGCGACGAGAAUUCCGGCUCAUAUAACUCGCCGAUAAGAGCUCCAGUGUAUAUUUAGCAUAUUCAGUAGGUCUUCUUUUCCAGCGCAGGGUGCGGUUUACUUCUCAACGAUCCUGAAGAUAUCCAGGCGUGUUGAGUGUAAUGCACGUGAGGAUUUUAUUAAAUCUCUCUGCCCUUCCUAUGUUAUUAUCCCGGUGAGCCGAAGUGCGUACGAAGCAGGAAUACACCCCGAAUGGGACCCCAGUACAUCAGGGCACCAUGCACACGGAUACAUUCCCGCGCUCGUUCACAUCUAGUUGCAAUUUAGAGUCGGAAAUCCACCUGUUCUUUUUUUUUGGGAGCGGGAGGAAACCGGAGAACCCGGAGGAAACCCACGCUGACAAGGGGAGGCCGUGUGAAAGUCCACGCAGGAUUGAACCGGGAAACGGAGCUUGAGCCAUAAAAUGAGGUAUAUUAAGCGCAGAAGUUAACAAUUUACCAAAAGGGUAUGAUGCUGCAUUUUCCCAAUGAGUAAACUAGCUGCGUGUGACAUCGUUGAGAGGUAAACUGCGCAUCCUGGCUGUGUGUGUGUGUGUGUGUGUGUGUGUGUGCGCGCCAACUGGAUAAAUAUGAAAGAACACUUUUUUUCCUAUUCUAACCUAUUCACGCUAUUCUGUCUACAGAAAUGGAAGACAUAUUCAUGUCUGUAAUGAAGGAGCCAGCCAUGAUGAUGCAGAAGCACUCAGUUCCUCAGUGCGUCGGUGCGCGCGCGCGCGCGCGUGUGUGUGUGUGUGUGUGUCAGAUCAAAGUGGGAUGUUCUUUGAUCCCACACACAGAUCCACAGUGAGAAGACAGAGACGAUGUUUCCAUCACUGCAUGUUGCGCAGCUGGUUGUAGACGUGCUCCAGGAUUUGAGAGUAGGCCUGGUCUUUGGGGGCGUGGCCACUCAGGGACGCCUGAGAAAGAGAACGUGUACAGACAGUAAGACGACACGUCUGGGUACGUGGUUAUAUGUAAGGAAUAACACUCUCGGGGCUGUGCGUUUACAGGAAAAUAAUCAGCGGUGUGAAAGUGGAGUUACUUUUACCACAAGACGCGUUACUCCGUAGGUCAUACCACAGACGUCCGUGAAACAAGCGAGUUCCUGUUCUCACUUACGUUAAACCACUGGGUUUUUCAAUUGGUUCACGUUAAAAUGGUCUCGUUCUGUUGUAAUAGGUGGUUAAAUAAAUUAAAAGGGAAGAAUAUUUGGUGUGUGCGGCCAUGUUGGGUGUUGACAAACCUUCAUUUUCUCCAGUAUUGAUGUGUCAGAACACCACAUCUGAUUAAAAUUGACCAGGUCUGGAGCAGCUCGAUAAAACUCCACCAGCAUCAUCUGCACACAAGUGUUCAAGCGUUCACAUCGAAACACAACGAGCAAGAACGGUGGUGGUGAUGAGGAUGAUGGUGAGGAUGAUGGUGAGGAUGAUGGUGAGGAUGAUGGUGAGGAGGAUGACGGUGAUUCCCUUCAGGUCUAUUCCACUAAUCACAUAUAUGACUGACUGUAACACAUGCUGUAUAUAUUGUUGCUAGUUUAUUAGCUACACUUACCUAGUCACUACACUCACUGGUAACUCCAGUUUAUUGAUUAAUAUAAGAACAAGUCGAAACUGACCCCAGACCUGUAGAAGUGAGCAUUCACACAUCUGAGCACCUAAAGUCUCCUCCAGCUGCUGCUGUGUGUUAAAUGAUCGUACCAUUUCAUUGAGGACGUCUGUAGUGAGGAAGUUGUCUUGCACGUACGUGACUUCCACUGCCACUGGGAUACCGUAAUCAUUCGGCCUUUGCUGAG
ensembl:lncRNA